rnacentral:rRNA from 1 species
UACGGGGGGGGCAAGCGUUGUUCGGAAUUACUGGGCGUAAAGCGCGCGUAGGCGGACCUGCAAGUCGGGGGUGAAAGCCCGAGGCUCAACCUCGGAACUGCCUUCGAUACUGCGGGUCUCGAGUCCGGGAGAGGUGAGUGGAAUUCCUAGUGUAGCGGUGAAAUGCGCAGAUAUCAGGAGGAACACCAAUUGCGAAGGCAGCUCGCUGGGACGUUACUGACGCUGAGACGCGAAAAGCGUGGGGGAGCAAACAGG